AAUAUGAAGUUUUAUUAAAAGAAAAAGGGGUGAAAAGAACAAAGUUGUGUCCAUCUUUGUUCAUCAUAGCUGAAAGUUAGAGAAGAGAAAGGAGAGGAGAAAGCUCUUGAGUAUUCGGCCAUUAGGAGGAGGAAAAUUGAAGGCGGUUCGUGUGUGGAUCUCGUCAACAUAUCGUCGCAAACAGGAAAUCCCCAACCAUAGUGGGCUUGGAGCUGUGAGGGAAUUCGGAGUGGCCACCCGUUCUGAAAGUUUGAUUUUCUUCUGGUGAACUGGACAUCCUUUUAUUUACGUUUGAAGUUUUUGGGCUUUUAAUGUAAUAAGGCCGCUUAAUUAUUUUUGAUGGUCUUUUAUUAAUAUGUAUUACUAAGAUAGGUAAUACUUAUUUUAACUGUAGAAAUUGGAUAGCUUUAGGGCGCGUUUUCAAAAACAACAGUUGAUUUCAAAAUAACACGACAACAAGCAAAGCUUCCGCAAUGAAA